rnacentral:rRNA from 1 species
GGGUAAGAACCUCACCUAUCUUGAUAUGUAGGUGGGGUUGUGAUAUAUUGUGCCCAGUGGGCCACUUUUGGUAAGCAGAACUGGCGCUGUGGGAUGAACCAAACGCAAUGUUACGGUGCCAAAAUUUACAACUCAUGCAGAUACCAUGAAAGGCGUUGCUUGCUUAAAACAGCAGGACGGUGGACAUGGAAGUCGUAAUCCGCUAAGGAGUGUGUAACAACUCACCUGCCGAAGCAACUAGCCCUUAAAAUGGAUGGCGCUUAAGUUGUAUACCUAUACAUUGCCGCUAAUGUAGAUGGUUUAUAUGUAAUUUUGGUUACAUAUAAAUUUUGAAACAUUAGUGAGUAGGAGGGUACAAUGGUGUGCCUAGAAGUGUUU